rnacentral:rRNA from 1 species
CCUACGUGGGGCUGCAGUCGAGAAUCAUUCACAAUGGGGGAAACCCUGAUGGUGCGACGCCGCGUGGGGGAAUGAAGGUCUUCGGAUUGUAAACCCCUGUCAUGUGGGAGUAAAUCAAAAAGAUAGUACCACAAGAGGAAGAGACGGUUAACUCUGUGCCAGCAGCCGCGGUAAUACAGAGGUCUCAAGCGUGGUUCGGAAUCAAUGGGCGUAAAGCGUGCGGAGAAGGUUUGGUAAGUCAUGUGUGAAAGGCGCGGGCUUAACCCGAGGACGGCACAUGAUACUGCGAGACUAGAGUAAUGGAGGGGGAACCGGAAUUCGCGGUGUAGCAGUGAAAUGCGUAGAUAGCGAGAGGAACACUCGUGGCGAAGGCGGGUUCCUAGACAUUAACUGACGCUGAGGCACGAAGGCCAGGGGAGCGAAAGGGAUUAGAUACCCGGGUAGUC